AACGAAUCUUCCGCAAUGCACGAAAGUGUGACGGAGCGACGCCGCGUGUGGGAUGAAGUCCCUCGGGAUGUAAACCACUGUCAGGGGAAAGAAAGUUCUGAUCUACCCCAGAGGAAGUGGCGACUAACUCUGUGCCAGCAGUCGCGGUAAUACAGAGGCCACAAGCGUUAGGCGGAAUCACUGGGCUUAAAGCGUGUGUAGGCGGGUUGGUAAGAAACUUGUGAAAUCCCACGGGUGAAACGGGGAAC
rnacentral:rRNA from 1 species